rnacentral:rRNA from 1 species
GACUAAUACCCAAUGACGUCUCUAGAAGACAUCUGAAAGAGAUUAAAGAUUUAUCGGUGAUGGAUGGGGAUGCGUCUGAUUAGCUUGUUGGCGGGGUAACGGCCCACCAAGGCAACGACCAGUAGGGGUUCUGAGAGGAAGGUCCCCCACAUUGGAACUGAGACACGGUCCAAACUCCUACGGGAGGCAGCAGUGAGGAAUAUUGGUCAAUGGACGAGAGUCUGAACCAGCCAAGUAGCGUGCAGGAUGACGGCCCUAUGGGUUGUAAACUGCUUUUAUAAGGGAAUAAAGUGAGUCUCGUGAGACUUUUUGCAUGUACCUUAUGAAUAAGGACCGGCUAAUUCCGUGCCAGCAGCCGCGGUAAUACGGAAGGUCCGGGCGUUAUCCGGAUUUAUUGGGUUUAAAGGGAGCGUAGGCCGGAGAUUAAGCGUGUUGUGAAAUGUAGACGCUCAACGUCUGCACUGCAGCGCGAACUGGUUUCCUUGAGUACGCACAAAGUGGGCGGAAUUCGUGGUGUAGCGGUGAAAUGCUUAGAUAUCACGAAGAACUCCGAUUGCGAAGGCAGCUCACUGGAGCGCAACUGACGCUGAAGCUCGAAAGUGCGGGUAUCGAACAGGAUUAGAUACCCUGGUAGUCCGCACGGUAAACGAUGGAUGCCCGCUGUUGGUCUGAAUAGGUCAGCGGCCAAGCGAAAGCAUUAAGCAUCCCACC